rnacentral:misc_RNA from 1 species
UCUCCGUAGGUGAACCUGCGGAGGGAUCAUUACUGAGUGAGGGUUUAACCGCCCGACCUCCAACCCUUUGUCGUACCCAACCGUUGCCUCGGGGGGCGACCCGGCCGUUCGCGCCGGGCGGCCCUCCGAGGUCCAUUAACAACCUGCAUUUUGACGUCGGAGUAUUGAAAACAAUCAAUCAAAACUUUCAGCAACGGAUCUCUUGGUUCUGGCAUCGAUGAAGAACGCAGC